rnacentral:rRNA from 1 species
GCAAGUCAACUUAAACUUCGUUUUGGGUGGCGGACGGGUUAGUAACGCGUAAAGAACUUGCCUCACAGAUAGGGACAACAUUUGGAAACGAAUGCUAAUACCUGAUAUUAUGAUUUUAGGGCAUCCUAAGAUUAUGAAAGCUAUAUGCGCUGUGAGAGAGCUUUGCGUCCCAUUAGCUAGUUGGAGAGGUAACAGCUCACCAAGGCGAUGAUGGGUAGCCGGCCUGAGAGGGUGAUC